rnacentral:rRNA from 1 species
UGGGGAAUUUUGGACAAUGGGGGAAACCCUGAUCCAGCCAUCCCGCGUGUGCGAUGAAGGCCUUCGGGUUGUAAAGCACUUUUGGCAGGAAAGAAACGUCAUGGGUUAAUACCCCGUGAAACUGACGGUACCUGCAGAAUAAGCACCGGCUAACUACGUGCCAGCAGCCGCGGUAAUACGUAGGGUGCAAGCGUUAAUCGGAAUUACUGGGCGUAAAGCGUGCGCAGGCGGUUCGGAAAGAAAGAUGUGAAAUCCCAGAGCUCAACUUUGGAACUGCAUUUUUAACUACCGGGCUAGAGUGUGUCAGAGGGAUGUGGAAUUCCGCGUGUAGCAGUGAAAUGCGUAGAUAUGCGGAGGAACACCGAUGGCGAAGGCAGCCUCCUGGGAUAACACUGACGCUCAUGCACGAAAGCGUGGGGAGCAAACAGG